GACGAACGCUGGCGGCGUGCCUAAUACAUGCAAGUAGAACGCUGAAGGAGGAGCUUGCUCUUCUGGAUGAGUUGCGAACGGGUGAGUAACGCGUAGGUAACCUGCCUGGUAGCGGGGGAUAACUAUUGGAAACGAUAGCUAAUACCGCAUAACAGUAGAUGUUGCAUGACAUUUACUUAAAAGGUGCAAUUGCAUCACUACCAGAUGGACCUGCGUUGUAUUAGCUAGUUGGUGGGGUAACGGCUCACCAAGGCGACGAUACAUAGCCGACCUGAGAGGGUGAGCGGCCACACUGGGACUGAGACACGGCCCAGACUCCUACGGGAGGCAGCAGUAGGGAAUCUUCGGCAAUGGACGGAAGUCUGACCGAGCAACGCCGCGUGAGUGAAGAAGGUUUUCGGAUCGUAAAGCUCUGUUGUAAGAGAAGAACGAGUGUGAGAGUGGAAAGUUCACACUGUGACGGUAUCUUACCAGAAAGGGACGGCUAACUACGUG
rnacentral:rRNA from 1 species